rnacentral:rRNA from 1 species
UGAGGAACAUGACCUUCGGCGGGGGAUAGCCGGCCCAACGGCCGGGUAAUACCGCGUACGACCACAUGGGGACAUCCCUAGGUGGUGAAAGCAGCAAUGCGCCGAUGGAGUGCCUCGCGGCCUAUCGGCUAGUUGGUGAGGUAACGGCUCACCAAGGCGACGACGGGUAGCUGGUCUGAGAGGAUGGCCAGCCACAUUGGGACUGAGACACGGCCCAGACCUCCGUACGGGAGCAG